GACGAACGCUGGCGGCGUGCUUAACACAUGCAAGUCGAACGGAAAGGCCCCUUUUGGGGUCCUCUAGUGGCGACCGGGUGCGUACCACGUGAGUAACCUGCCCUUGCCUUCUGUUUAACUUCAGUAAACUGGGGCUAAUACCGGUUAGGCCUCCUUGCUGCUUCGUGGGGGUUGGAAAGCUUCUGCGGUUUUGGGUGGUCUGGCGACCUAUUUGCUUGUUGGUGGGGUGGUGGCUUACCAAGGCUCUGACGGGUAGCCGGACUGAGGGGGUGACCGGCCACAGUGGGACUGAGAGGCGGCACAGGUGGCGAAGGGUGGCAGAAGGGGGGAAGAUUGAACAAUGGGCGGAAGGCGGAUGAAGAAAGGCCGCGUGCGGGAUGACGGUCUUGGGGUUGAAAACCGCUUGCAGCAGGAGCGAAGCUUGUGGUGACGGUACCGGCAGAAGAAGCACCGGCUAACUACGUG
rnacentral:rRNA from 1 species